rnacentral:rRNA from 1 species
AUUGAACGCUGGCGGCAUGCCUUACACAUGCAAGUCGAACGGUAACGCGGGGCAACCUGGCGACGAGUGGCGAACGGGUGAGUAACGCAUCGGAACGUGCCCAGUAGUGGGGGAUAGCCCGGCGAAAGCCGGAUUAAUACCGCAUACGACCUACGGGUGAAAGGGGGGGAUCGCAAGACCUCUCGCUAUUGGAGCGGCCGAUGUCAGAUUAGGUAGUUGGUGGGGUAAAGGCCCACCAAGCCUUCGAUCUGUAGCUGGUCUGAGAGGACGACCAGCCACACUGGGACUGAGACACGGCCCAGACUCCUACGGGAGGCAGCAGUGGGGAAUUUUGGACAAUGGGCGCAAGCCUGAUCCAGCCAUGCCGCGUGCGGGAAGAAGGCCUUCGGGUUGUAAACCGCUUUUGUCAGGGAAGAAACGCUCUGGGCUAAUACCCCGGGGUAAUGACGGUACCUGAAGAAUAAGCACCGGCUAACUACGUGCCAGCCGCCGCAGUAA